rnacentral:lncRNA from 1 species
AAAUCAAGUCCGCGGGGCAUGGAGGCUGCUGUCGCUGCAGCAGCUCAGCUUGCCCGGGGCGGGAACUCCCCCUUUCUCCUUUCGCCUCCCCAGCACCCACACCCUGUCUCCCCCUUAAUUCUUCCCUGGAUAAUAGCACCCUAACGACAACAGUCAUAAUAAUAGGGUUAGAACGACAGGGGAGGAAAACUCAACAGCCUAAAUAUCUCUGAAAACUGCAUCGCAAAAUGGAAGAAAGAGGGGGUCCCACUACUGUUUCAAAAGAGAGCCAUGGAAGUCAAAUGCUGAGGAUGGUGGCAUCAUAGGAUGAAUGGAGCUGGGUUCUUGAAACACUGCCUGGAGGAAAGACAGCAAAAAUGCCUCAUGAAUCCAACUGGACUGUUAGGAUGCUCACCCUUGGAGACCAGCAACAAUGUGUGCAGAAACCCAGGCCAUGUGGAGAGGCCCCACAUACGUGUCCAACUGAGGUCCCAGCUGACAGCUGGCAUUGACAUGUGAGUGAGACUCUGAACGUUCCAGCUGAUGACAAGUACAGUUUGAGCGAGCUAUCCCUGUUGGGCCUGUCAAAACUGCAGAUUUCAUGAAGAAAAUAAGUGUUGUUGACUUAAGCCAGUAAGUUUUGACAUACUAUGUUACACA